AUUUUCCCUUGUGCUCCCAGGCCCUGGAAGGCAGGACACCUUUAUCUAGUGGCCAGGCAUGGAGACUUUGAUAGCACAGAAGCUCUGGUUCAGGACACAUAGGUAGGUUGGAUCUCUGCCUCUGGGGAUGGACCAGAAGUAAGUGUCUACAAUAACUGUGGUGGUCAGUGUUGUCAACUUGAUAGAUUCAAGAAUCACCUGGGAGACCUGUGUGUGACUGUAGGGGGAUAUCUUGGUUAAGAUGACGGAAGUGAGAAGACACACCUACCAUGGGUGGCACCAUUCCCUGUGGCAUGCUGGAGUCUGUGAAUGGAGGCAGGGUGGUAGCGUGCAUUCAUUUCUCUGCUUCCUGGCUGUGUGUGCUGAGUGACCAGUUGCUUCAAGCCCCUGCCAUGUGACUGCUCUGUACCUCUGAGAGGCAAGCCAGAAUAAACCCUUUCUCCCUUCAGUUGCUUUUGUUAGGGUGUUUUGUCACAGCAACAGGAACAGAAAUGGAGACUGUGAGGACUAUGAGGAGGCGCUUCUUGGGGUUGGCAGGAGGCAGAGACUCAGAGGAAGUAGGGCUAGAAUGCAGAAAGCAGGCCCUGGAGGGAGACAGUAACUCCAGCAUCAGAAAGAGAUGAGGUGGUCUAUGUCCUGUGGUAUAUCCCUGCCCUCCCUGUCCCCAGACAUGCUGUGACAGACUAAGGUUGGUUACUAUGGACAUUAUAAGAGCAGGAGUCAGUAUCUCACUUUCAGGGGUCUUUACCUCAGUGACAUGUGGUUACAGGCCAAACUCAGCCAACUGGCUCUUGAUGACUCCCCUUCUCAGACGACCACCAUCCUUGCAAUGAAUCCAGGCAACCACUAACUAGGAGGCCUCAGGAACCCGUUAAAUUGAUGGUCUGUCUGGCUCCUGCGCUUUGCUCUCCUUUGGGUUGGUUAGCUGGAGUCAGCAUGGCCCUCACCCAUAUGCUCCCUAGCCAGAAGGGGGUAUCUGGAUGGAGUCACAGAUGAUUGUGAGUCGGCAUGUGAGUGCUGGAAACUGACUCCCGGUCCUCUGCAAGAGCAUCCGGUGAUCUUAAUUGCUCAGGCAUAUGUUUCAGGCCACAAAGUUCUGUCCUAGGAGAAGGAAAUAUACCAACAACCAGAGCCAAGGGACCCACUGGCCUUGACUCAUGUUCACCAAAAGAAUAGAUGAGCUGAUGCCUGGACAUUCAGGGGAAGGCGACAGAAGCUACCGGGGAAAGACUCGGGUCUCUGAAGUUGAUAAAAGGGGUACUAUACUGAGCAGUCUAGGCCUGGAACUUGUUUCUGUGUGGUCAUGCAACCAUAAAACAAAGGAGGUAGUGGGAAGGCCCUGACAUCAUGGAACUUGAAUUUGCAUGCAGGACUAAAGGGUCAAGUACAAACUAGAUACUUUGAAAGGAAAAGUGCGGCAUGGAAUUUGUCCUAUGAAGAAUAAAACUUAUGAAAAAACUGUCAUGUGUCAUGAGUUGAGUGAAGACAACUCAACACUGGGCCAAGAGUUUCAAAAUGGAUUGACUAUAGACUUGGGUGCCUGGAUAUAACCCAUUAGGGUAGUUGACCUUAGACGUACAAUUGUGAGCCACUGGAAAAUACAGGGAUUUUUUUCUCUAGUUAUCUGUUUGUCAUAUCAGAAAAAAUAAUUAAAUCAGAUCCCCACCUUACAGCACACACAGCAUCAAUUUAGAUGAAGAAAUAAAGGAAAGACACAGGAGAGUGUCUUCUAACACUGGGUGAGGGAAGUAAUCUAAGCAAGAUAUACCAAGUUACUGAACUUUGCUAGCAUUGCAAUUUUUAAACAUAAACACACACAUACACACGUGUAUGUAUGUAUGUAUGUAUGUGUGUAUGUAUGUAUAACAAAUACAAAAAGUGAAGGCCAAGCAUUAAGAAUGUCAAUGACAUUCAGUCUGUGAUGCGAUUUCUCUGGGAACACACCUAAAGUACAGAAAGCAGGGGCUUGGGUAGAUUUUUUUUUAAUUUCAGUGCUCACAGCAGUGUUAUUCACAAGAACCAAACACUGAAAACAGCCCAGAUGAAUGAGCAGGCAAAAUGGGACAUGGAUUCAACAGUUUAUGAGUCAGCCUUCUGGCAAAGGGGCAUUCUGGCCCAUGCUCCAGCAUGGGUGAACCUUGAAGACACGCCAUCACAAGAAGAAACGUUGCAUGAAUCUACUUCUAGUGCAAUUCGUGGAGAGGAAAACCAGAAAGACCAGUCAAGAUGGAAGAACAUGCUCACCCCAGGGAGAUAGAUACACAGCAAAGCAAUAAUGAGAUCGUAUCUCACACGUAUCAUAUUGCAAAAACCCAAGUCUCCUAAUGCCUGGAGAUGGCAGUGAAGCAAUAAGAUCUGUCAUAUGUCAUGGGUGAUGUGUGAAGAAAAAAACUCCCUACAGACUCUUUGAGGACAAUUUGGCAAUAUCUGGCAGAUGGCAGAGAAUGGCACACCUCUGUAUCAGCGUCUCCUUCCAGGGACAAACCCUAGGGAAUUUCUCACACCUGUGGUGAAAUUAUGCACAAAAACACUGCUGCACUGCUCUUCUUACUGAGGAAAAUUUGAAGCCAUCCAGUGCUAGGAUGAAGGAUAAACAAAUUGUUACAUCACUAAGUAGAUUACUAUGCAGCAGUUAAAAUGUCCUAUAUGUGGUUGGUGUUCCUGUGGACAGAUCUUUCAAGCACAAUGCUUGGUAAAGAAAGCUUGCUUCUUCACGGGCAGGGGUUGGGAGGAAUGCGGAGUUAGUGUUUAGCUGGGGCAGAGUUUCAGUUUGAGAAGAGGUGGAUGGUGGCAAUGGCUAUACCCAAACACGGACCUGUCACGUACACGGGCUUCAUGGACCACAAAGUGAAGGACUGAUUGAGGUUCAAUGGGAAAUCUUGAAGCACUCAGUGGACUCUGUUUGCAGGAUCUAAAGCUAUUCUGCUAUCUUCGGCCGCUGUCCAAUAUUUCAGACUAUAGUGUAAACCUACAUUCUCUGCUCCAGGGUGGACAUUAACAGGGUCACCUACUCAACUGAGAUGCUUCUUGACUCCAUGUGCACUGGGAACCUCUUUAGUGCAACUGUGGGAGCUGAAGCCGGAUUCACCUGAAAGACAGUAUAACUCCAUCAACUUUCCCUGCCUUAGAGACCCAGAAACCUGUACUGAAGUGGACAAGACUGGGUUUCCCACCAGGCUGAGUGGGCAUGGCAGUCCUUAGUUGCAAGUGCUGGAAAGAAAAAACAUUCUGUUUGAA